UUUUAGCUUAUGAAUCCGACC
rnacentral:piRNA from 1 species